ensembl:lncRNA
CAGACAGUAACGUUAGUCGAGCUCCACAAAUAGUAUCGUUUGGAUACAAGGACUUUGAACAGGACCGUGUGAAUAAAAAAAGAUUUGCCAGAUGCAACAUAUGCAACAACGUCAAAUUUCAUUCGUUAUUUUAAGAACCACAAGGAAUGCAUCACCAGCAGGAAGUCCUUCAGCCACAGAUUUGCCAGAACUAUUUCACCACCUGAAGACACUUGGGAGGCUGUCCCUUAUAAGCUCAUCAAGCGUGCAGGUAAAUUUGAAAACGUAAUAAUUUGAAACUUGGGAUGAAAAUGUGUUUUUAAGAGUAAAUGCUUCCAAAACCUUAUGUGGGAGACCACAUGUGAGUGUCGCCAGAGGAGUGAAAAUCAUUCCAGCGUGGGCGCCUACCACCCCUAGGAUGCACAUCUAUACCACAACACCCUGUGGAUUGCAGCCCCAGAGGAUGGAGCAAGCACAGCACUCCAAGGCACCAGAGAGGUACUCCACGCCACCAUGUGGAGGACUGCUACAUUCACUUAACCCAGGUGCUUAACCUCUGUUAUUAAAGCAUGUUUGCUUUCAAUUUUAUUUGUCAAUUCUUAUUUAUUUUUAAGGGCAAGAAGGCAGAGAUUGGGGGACAUUUUGGCUCUGCACAUGAGGAACAUUUGGAGAAGAUCAAGCAGCUGAUUUAACAGAAUGUCUAGCUGAGGGCACAAUUGGAUCUACAGUCAGCUUCAGAUAAAUGGCAACUGAAGAGAAUGUCGAGCUAAAGGCACAAAGCCAGCUUUAAGGAGCUUUUCUUCAGGACUAUUCUUCAAAGAGCAGUAAGGAAGAAUCCUUCCUACUGGGGUGCAACUGACAAGGCUAUCCAGAACCAUUUCACCAGGUACCCAAAAGGGGCAGCUGUCUGUGCAGGUGGGAGAAGACGUUGCAGGGUUACCAGGGACCUGCCGUGAAUAUGAAUGACACAACUCCUGCACAAAACCACAAUGCCACAUGCUUGGAUUCCGGCCCUUGCUUAUUUAGUACUUUAUUAUGUUUAUUUGGUACUUUUUCACACUCAAAUAUUGUGAUUUUUCUAUAUUUGUUGCUGGACAGAUGUAUAUUGCACAUGUUUAGAUUUUUUCAAUUAUUU